GAUGAACGCUGGCGGCGUGCCUAACACAUGCAAGUCGAGCGAUUUACUUCGGUAAAGAGCGGCGGACGGGUGAGUAACGCGUGGGUAACCUGCCCUGUACACACGGAUAACAUACCGAAAGGUAUGCUAAUACGAGAUAAUAUGCUUUUAUCGCAUGGUAGAAGUAUCAAAGCUUUUGCGGUACAGGAUGGACCCGCGUCUGAUUAGCUAGUUGGUAAGGUAACGGCUUACCAAGGCAACGAUCAGUAGCCGACCUGAGAGGGUGAUCGGCCACAUUGGAACUGAGACACGGUCCAAACUCCUACGGGAGGCAGCAGUGGGGAAUAUUGCACAAUGGGCGAAAGCCUGAUGCAGCAACGCCGCGUGAGCGAUGAAGGCCUUCGGGUCGUAAAGCUCUGUCCUCAAGGAAGAUAAUGACGGUACUUGAGGAGGAAGCCCCGGCUAACUAC
rnacentral:rRNA from 1 species